GACGAACGCUGGCGGCGUGCUUAACACAUGCAAGUCGAACGAUGAAGCUGGAGCUUGCUCUGGUGGAUUAGUGGCGAACGGGUGAGUAACACGUGAGUAACCUGCCCUGGACUCUGGGAUAACCCCGAGAAAUCGGAGCUAAUACCGGAUAGGACCUCGGAUCGCAUGCUCUGGGGUGGAAAGUUUUUCGGUCUGGGAUGGACUCGCGGCCUAGCAGCGUGUUGGUGGGGUAAUGGCUCACCAAGGCGUCGACGGGUAGCCGGCCUGAGAGGGUGACCGGCCACACUGGGACUGAGACACGGCCCAGACUCCUACGGGAGGCAGCAGUGGGGAAUAUUGCACAAUGGGCGCAAGCCUGAUGCAGCAACGCCGCGUGCGGGAUGACGGCCUUCGGGUUGUAAACCGCUUUUAGUAGGGAAGAAGCCGCAAGGUGACGGUACUUGCAGAAAAAGGACCGGCUAACUACGUGCCAGCCGCCGCAGUAAUAC
rnacentral:rRNA from 1 species